rnacentral:misc_RNA from 1 species
AAGUCGUAACAAGGUUUCCGUAGGUGAACCUGCGGAAGGAUCAUCACGAGAGGGACGCCGCGAGGCGCACCACUACACUGUGUUACUGAGCGAUGAGUGUGGCCAAGGCGCAAGCCUGCCACACACGUCUAUUGACGCCAUGAAAUGAACCAGCUGAACAGCACCUAAUCAAUCAACACAACUGUUAGCAACGGAUCACUUGGUUCUC